rnacentral:tRNA from 1 species
GCCCAGCUGCUUGUUAGGAGAGCAUGUGACUCUUGAUCUUAGGGUUGUGAGUUCAAGUCCCACGUUGGGUA